rnacentral:rRNA from 1 species
UACGUAGGGUGCGAGCGUUAAUCGGAAUUACUGGGCGUAAAGCGUGCGCAGGCGGUUUUAUAAGCCAGAUGUGAAAUCCCCGGGCUUAACCUGGGAAUGGCAUUUGGGACUGUAAGGCUAGAAUCUGGCAGAGGGGGGUAGAAUUCCACGUGUAGCAGUGAAAUGCGUAGAGAUGUGGAGGAAUACCGAUGGCGAAGGCAGCCCCCUGGGCUAAGAUUGACGCUCAUGCACGAAAGCGUGGGGAGCAAACAGG